rnacentral:rRNA from 1 species
UACGUAGGCAGCGAGCGUUUGUUCGGAGUUACUGGGCGUAAAGGGUGCGUAGGCGGUUGUUUAAGUUUGGUGUGAAAUCUCCCGGCUCAACUGGGAGGGUGCGCCGAAUACUGAAUGACUAGAGUGCGGGAGAGGAUAGUGGAAUUCCUGGUGUAGCGGUGAAAUGCGUAGAUAUCAGGAGGAACACCGGUGGUGUAGACGGCUAUCUGGACCGUAACU